rnacentral:lncRNA from 1 species
CUGUGACUUCCAAACUAGGUCAUAUAAGGUAAUAUGACUUCAUCCUGGCCCUUCUCUCUUGGGACGCUCACCAUGGAACCUAGCUGAGAGGAAGCCCAGGCAACGUGGUGAUGCCACACAUGGGUAUUCUGCUCAACAGCCCCAGCUAAGGUCCCAGCCAACAGCCAGCUUUGACUACCAGACAUGUGAAUGAAUGAACCUUCAGAUAACUCCAGCCCCACCUUUGAGUCUUUCAGCUGAGCCUCAGACACUAUGAAGCAGACUAGCUGUCCUCAAAAUGCCGUGUGCGAAUUCCUGACCUACAGGAACCAUGAAAAUAGCUCUUGCCUACAGUUUCCUCUUCUCUCCCUCUGCCUCCUAACCAUCCCUGGUGCUUCCUCAACUGGCUCUGUGUGCUGUGCCUCCUGUUUCUAGAGAACGCAACAACAUGCAGACAAGAGAUAUCAACAGUUUUGAAGGAUAGAAAGUAGAUGGACAAGCAAUUUUUUGCAUUUUAAGGAUGGGCUGAUGGCAUCUUGGGAGCUUGGAAAAAGACGAGUGUAAACACCAUGGCAGAACGUCAUUCGAACCUACCAUGUGUAAAUAAUAACCUCCUCAAAUAAACGAGUUAAGGUUUAGUAUCUUUCCUACAAGGAAGAGACUUACAUUUUGUUUGGAAAUGUUUCGUGAGGAGCAUGAAGGCAUAAGACAAAGCAAGCAUAAUUCACACCAACAGGAGACAAGAAGAAAGAGCAAUGUUCCCAGGAAGCACUAUGAGAAGCUAAAUGGCCCACAGCCCCCUGUUCCUCUGACCGUCCUGGUGUGAAGGCCAAUCGCGCAUUUUCACAGCCACGGUAUAGCCAAAUAUUUGUCCAAAGCAGUUGAGCCAGCAACGUAAGAGAGUUCCAAUUGCUUCCUGUCUUCACCAGCGUUUGGGAAACAUUCUGAACAGUGACUGGAUCAUCCAAUACGCGUUUGUGGAAAGCAGAAUGGCGGAGAGGGACGUGGAAGGAUAGAGAAAGAGACGCAGGAGGGGAAGAAGAAUGCAGCAGCUGUGAUGCAAUUCCAGUCCCAGGCCUUAAGAAGAUCUGGCAGCUUCUGCUUUUGCUCCCUGGGGGAAGCCAGCCCGCUGUGAGCAGUCCAACUAUCCUGAGAGAUCACCUGGAGAGGCCAAGCAGAGGAGAACUGAGGAACCCAGCCAACACCAAGGACUGAAGCCUAGAUAUAUGACCCCACUUGAAUUGUUCCAACCAGACCUCAGCUUUUUGAGCCAUUCCAGCUGAGGCCCCAGACAUCACAGAACAGAGAUGAGCUAUUCCCACCAUGCUCUGAUCAAGUUACUGACCCACAAAGCCAUGUUCCAAUGAAAUGCUGUUUUAAGCCACUAAGUUGUGGGAUAGUUUGUUGCACAGCAAAAGAUACCUGAAACAGGAGAUAUUCACCACGAAAAUGACAAUUCCUUUCAUCAUUCUCAGUUUUUAUUCUCCUUAAAAUAUGCCUGUGGGAAGAAAACAACUCUUAAUACAAGGUAAAAGUCAUAAUAGAGGAGAUAUUUGGG